AGACCCGAAACCCGGUGAUCUAGCCAUGGGCAGGUUGAAGGUUGGGUAACACUAACUGGAGGACCGAACCGACUAAUGUUGAAAAAUUAGCGGAUGACCUGUGGCUGGGGGUGAAAGGCCAAUCAAACCGGGAGAUAGCUGGUUCUCCCCGAAAGCUAUUUAGGUAGCGCCUCGUGAAUUCAUCUCCGGGGGUAGAGCACUGUUUCGGCUAGGGGGCCAUCCCGGCUUACCAACCCGAUGCAAACUGCGAAUACCGGAGAAUGUUAUCACGGGAGACACACGGCGGGUGCUAACGUCCGUCGUGAAGAGGGAAACAACCCAGACCGCCAGCUAAGGUCCCAAAGUCAUGGUUAAGUGGGAAACGAUGUGGGAAGGCCCAGACAGCCAGGAUGUUGGCUUAGAAGCAGCCAUCAUUUAAAGAAAGCGUAAUAGCUCACUGGUCGAGUCGGCCUGCGCGGAAGAUGUAACGGGGCUAAACCAUGCACCGAAGCUGCGGCAGCGACGCUUAUGCGUUGUUGGGUAGGGGAGCGUUCUGUAAGCCUGUGAAGGUGGCCUGUGAGGGUUGCUGGAGGUA
rnacentral:rRNA from 1 species